rnacentral:rRNA from 1 species
GACGAACGCUGGCGGCGUGCUUAACACAUGCAAGUCGAACGGAAAGGCCCUGCUUUUGUGGGGUGCUCGAGUGGCGAACGGGUGAGUAACACGUGAAUAACCUGCCCUUGACUUUGGGAUAACUUCAGGAAACUGGGGCUAAUACCGGAUAGGAGCUCCUGCUGCAUGAUGGGGGUUGGAAAGUUUCGGCGGUUGGGGAUGGACUCGCGGCUUAUCAGCUUGUUGGUGGGGUAGUGGCUUACCAAGGCUUUGACGGGUAGCCGGCCUGAGAGGGUGACCGGCCACAUUGGGACUGAGAUACGGCCCAGACUCCUACGGGAGGCAGCAGUGGGGAAUAUUGCACAAUGGGCGGAAGCCUGAUGCAGCAACGCCGCGUGCGGGAUGACGGCCUUCGGGUUGUAAACCGCUUUCGCCUGUGACGAAGCGUGAGUGACGGUAAUGGGUAAAGAAGCACCGGCUAACUACGUG